rnacentral:rRNA from 1 species
CCUACGGGUGGCAGCAGUAGGGAAUAUUGCUCAAUGGGGGAAACCCUGAAGCAGCAACGCCGCGUGGAGGAUGAAGGUUUUCGGAUUGUAAACUCCUUUUGUUAGAGAAGAUAAUGACGGUAUCUAACGAAUAAGCACCGGCCAACUCCGUGCCAGCAGCCGCGGUAAUACGGAGGGUGCAAGCGUUACUCGGAAUCACUGGGCGUAAAGAGCGCGUAGGCGGGAUAGCAAGUCAGAUGUGAAAUCCUAUGGCUUAACCAUAGAACUGCAUUUGAAACUGUUAUUCUAGAGUAUGGGAGAGGUAGGUGGAAUUCUUGGUGUAGGGGUAAAAUGCGUAGAGAUCAAGAGGAAUACUGAUUGCGAAGGCGACCUGCUAGAACAUAACUGACGCUGAUGCGCGAAAGCGUGGGGAGCAAACAGGAUUAGAUACCCCAGUAGUC